rnacentral:rRNA from 1 species
GACGAACGCUGGCGGCGUGCCUAAUACAUGCAAGUCGAACGAGAGCGCUCGGUGCUUGCCCUGGUCAAUCUAGUGGCGAACGGGUGAGUAACACGUGGGUAACCUGCCCAUCAGAGGGGGAUAACAUCCGGAAACGGAUGCUAAAACCGCAUAGGUCUUCGAACCGCAUGGUUUGAAGAGGAAAAGAGGCGCAAGCUUCUGCUGAUGGAUGGACCCGCGGUGCAUUAGCUAGUUGGUGAGGUAACGGCUCACCAAGGCCGUGAUGCAUAGCCGACCUGAGAGGGUGAUCGGCCACAUUGGGACUGAGACACGGCCCAAACUCCUACGGGAGGCAGCAGUAGGGAAUCUUCCGCAAUGGACGCAAGUCUGACGGAGCAACGCCGCGUGAGUGAAGAAGGUUUUCGGAUCGUAAAACUCUGUUGUUAGAGAAGAACAAGUGCUAGAGUAACUGUUAGCGCCUUGACGGUAUCUAACCAGAAAGCCACGGCUAACUACGUG